rnacentral:lncRNA from 10 species
ACUGGCACAGGGAAGAACGCAGUCCAGAAGUCCUUAAAAAAGUACCCAUUGUUGAACCAGGCCCUCUGAAGUUAGGGCCCCACAAGAACAAAAUUCCACAAUCCCAGCAGUGCUACCUAAUGUCGCCUGGCUCCCCGAGGUAAGGCCUCCUGUGUAGAAAAGAGCUCUCACAGCACGCCUGAGACUUCUCUUCCUAGAAAAGCCUGCUGCAGGGGAAGGAGCAGACAGGAGAAAAUAAUAGAAUAUACCAUUUAUGCUGGGAAAUGCAUUGAGUCAACUUAAUUGCUCUACAGAAACCCUGGGCUUAAAUACUAACACCAUGAAGGACAAGAGUCUGUGUCUCCCCUCCCAAGAAGACAAAACAUGGCUAACUCAAAAACCACUGGAAAAGUGAGUAAUUUCUUAUCAAAGCCAAGCCAUUCAGUAUUAUUUCUGUGGCUGCCAGUGUUGUUUCAAAUAAG